UACGAAGGGGGCUAGCGUUGCUCGGAAUUACUGGGCGUAAAGCGCGCGUAGGCGGAUCGUUAAGUCGGGGGUGAAAUCCUGGAGCUCAACUCCAGAACUGCCUUCGAUACUGGCGAUCUUGAGUCCGGGAGAGGUGAGUGGAACUCCGAGUGUAGAGGUGAAAUUCGUAGAUAUUCGGAAGAACACCAGUGGCGAAGGCGGCUCACUGGCCCGGUACUGACGCUGAGGCGCGAAGGCCAGGGGAGCAAACGGG
rnacentral:rRNA from 1 species